rnacentral:rRNA from 1 species
GACGAACGCUGGCGGCGUGCUUAACACGUGCAAGUCGAGCGGUAAGGCCCUUUCGGGGGUACACGAGCGGCGAACGGGUGAGUAACACGUGGGUGACCUGCCCUCAGCUCUGGGAUAAGCCUGGGAAACCGGGUCUAAUACUGGAUAUGACUCCAUGACGCAUGUUGUGGGGUGGAAAGCCUUGUGCGGCUGAGGAUGGGCCCGCGGCCUAUCAGCUUGUUGGUGGGGUGANGGCCUACCAAGGCGACGACGGGUAGCCGGCCUGAGAGGGCGACCGGCCACACUGGGACUGAGACACGGCCCAGACUCCUACGGGAGGCAGCAGUGGGGAAUCUUGCGCAAUGGGCGAAAGCCUGACGCAGCGACGCCGCGUGAGGGAUGACGGCCU